AUGUACAACUUCAUCAGCAUUCUGUGGUUGAGCUUUCCUUUAAAAUGCAUGCUUUUGAUUGGGUGUUGCGGAGGAUCACAGAGGUUGAUGUGGUUGAGGUCGAUUUCAGAUCUAACCAAAACCCUUGUCUUGCUGGAGGUGUUCACAGAAGCCAUGGAGGGGAAUGCUGAUCCCCCAAAGGACAAGGUGACUACAACCAACACCCCAAACAAGUUAUUCUCAUAUUUUUACAAAUUGAUUGAGCUAAUCAGUGAAUUGAAGAUAGAGGGGGGAAUUGUAAACUAAGAAAGUGUCUAUAGGCCUACCUACCAUAAGGGUUGUUCUUGAAUUGCGGCGGUAUUUGGGUGUGGCAUUUUGGAGAAAAAAAUGAACUUAAUUUUUCUCUAUUCUUUUUAAUAAAAUGUAUUGGGUAUAUCUUCCCAUUGUAAAUGAACUAAUAUGGUAGCUUAGUGACUUUUAAUAAUGUUUUACUAUUAUGAUAACAUCGUGCCACCAGCAGAAGUAGUUACACCAGUGAUGGUAACUCCAAUGACAACAUUUUGGUAAUUGAGGACAUUCGAAUCUAAGGUCAUUAAACCUUUAAAAAUAAUUGACCAAAGUGUUUAUGAUUCAUAAUUUAGCUCACAGUGUAAUUUCCCUUCAUUUAACAUUUGUAACACCAAUUACACUAUUUAGACACACCAAAUGAUCAAUGGAAUCCUCAAAUUGAUGAGUUGCUAAAAGGGUGUGAUUAGCUAAUAAUUGUAUUUAAUAUAGAUCCCUCCAGUGCAAAACUUUUCCACUGGAGGUCAAUGCAAGGUACUUGUAAAUCUUUGUAAUGAGUGAUUUUCAAGGUGGUUACACCAAUGGGGAUAAAACUUAGGGACACGUAUUAUAUUUGUAAAAAUAAUAGUAAUUUUAAUAGCCUGUCUUGUUUUUAUUGAUAAGUACAAUAUACAGUUGAAGGCGGGAAGUUUACAUACACCUCAGCCAAAUACAUUUAAACUCAGUUUUUCACAAUUCCUGACAUUUAAUCCUAGUAAAAAUUCCCUGUCUUAGGUUAGGAUCACCACUUUAUUUUAAGAAUGUGAAAUGUCAGAAUAAUAAUAGAGAGAAUGAUUUAUUUCAGCUUUUAUUUCUUUCAUCACAUUCCCAGUGGGUCAGAAGUUUACAUACACUCAAUUAGUAUUUGGUAGCAUUGCCUUUAAAUUGUUUAACCUGGGUCAAACAUUUCAGGUAGCCUUCCACAAGCUUCCCACAAUAAGUUGGGUUAAUUUUGGCCCAUUCCUCCUGACAGAGCUGGUGUAACUGAGUCAGGUUUGUAGGCCUCAUUGCUCGCACAUGCUUUUUCAGUUCUGCUCACAAUUUUUCUAUGGGAUUGAGGUCAGGACUUUGUGAUGGCCACUCCAAUACCUUGACUUUGUUGUCCUUAAGCCAUUUUGCCACAAGUUAGGAAGUAUGCUUGGGGUCGUUGUUCAUUUGGAAGAACUAUUUGCGACCAAGCUUUAACUUCCUGACUGAUG
rnacentral:lncRNA from 8 species